ACAGCUAUUGAUCCUCCAUGUUGUCACAACAUCACUCACAAUGUCACAAAGUAAUAUUAGAAACAGACUCGGUUUCGGUAACAGAACAGUCACGUGUUAUGUUUAGCUGGGUCUGGCCUGUUGAAUGUAAAAGUGGCUUUACAAUAAAGAUGCAUGAUAAGAGUUGCUAAGUUGAUCUCUGUGGUCUGUUUUCGAGCUCUAGAUGCCGACUAAGUGUUCAAACGCUCUCACAUCUCUUGUGUGUUAUAUUCAGAUGUGAUAUGUCUCUGUGUGUGUGUUUGCAGUCCUUCACAUAUAUCAUCACACGUGAUAUCCUGUUCAUGGGUAGAAGUGUUCAGAGAACGAGGAAGCAGAAAUGUGCGUCCAUUUGUAUCGACUGCCAUCCGAUACGACCAUUUUCUCAUCUCUGACACUGAAGUUAAUCACCAAUGAGGGCCAUCAUCAUCUUCAUCACUCUCUGGCUGAUGUCAGGUCAGGGACUUUGUUUCAAUGUGAUUGGCUGCUCUGGAGGGAGUGUGAUGUUCAAGUGCAUGUAUCCAAAAGAACAUGACGGUCAACAUGAAGUAAAGUAUUUCUGCAGAGAUAAAGACUGUAAAGAAAUCAGUUCUGAUCUUCAGCGGCGCUGGGUUAAUAAUGAGAGAAUCUCUCUGUAUGACGAUAAAAACAACAGAUUCUUCACAGUGUUUAUCAGGAAGCUCAGCAGAGAGGAUGAUGGAAAACACACAUGGAAACAAUCAGAAAUGGAGUCAUGAUGUUGAGUUAAAGGUUAACAAAAACUCUUCUUCUUGUGGGACGUCUGUUAUCGGAUCUGCAUAUAUUAGUCAAACAAUCACUAUCCGCUGUGAAUAUGAUCAAGAGUUUAAAAAACACACCAAAAGUCUUCUACAGAGUGAACGGAGAUCCUGAGCUUGUCCUGAACUCUUCAUCAUCAUCAUCCUCAUCUAAGGAGAAGUUCAUCCUGACUGACUCUCAGAAAGAUCACUUUAGUGUAACCAUCAGAAACGUUUCUGCAGAGGAUAGAGGAGUUUAUUUAUGUGGAGUGGAGAGAGACGGAUCAGAUAAACCUUCAGAAACAUCUAUCACUUACAUCACCUUCAUUAAAGAGAUUGAGCUGAAUGUUUCUAGUCAGAUAACUUCUGUCCAGGUCGAGGCCUACAUCAGUAAAUCAGUCUUCAUCACGUGUACAUUUCCACAAAAUUUAAAAAGAAACAAGAAAUUCUUGCAGAAAGAUCCUCACAGAAGAUCCAUGAUGAAGAUCAGAAUCAAUGGGUCCAACGUAAUAAAGUGCACAUGUAUGAUGAUAAUAAUAAAGGACUUCUGAAGGUUUUUAUCAGUGAUUUAACUGAAGGUGAUGAAGGAACGUACAGAUGUGGAGUGAAUACUGAUAAAGAUCAUCUGUUCACUGAGAUCAAACUGAAGAUCAGUACAGCUGAUGAUUUUCCUGCAUCAAGCACAUCAGCUGUUUUUGGUGAAAGUGUGAAACUCACCUGUAAUUCUCCUGAGAAAAACAAGACCUUCAAACACAUCUGUAAAGAGAACAAGGAGAAGAUCUGUGAGAAGAUCAGUUCAUCAGAGUUUUCUGAAAGUACAGCAGGAGUUUUCACAGCGAUCUUCAGUAAUGUGAGGCUGAGAGAUGCUGGAGUUUACUGGUGUGGAGAAGAAACCAGAAACAAACAUCUGACUUCUGUUUCUCUCACCAAUAAACAUGAGCUGACUUUAUCCAUUCCUCCAGUGAUUGGACGAGAAGGAGAUUCAGUCGACAUCAAAUGUCCUUAUGAUAAAAAAUAUUCAAAAAAACAAAGCAUCUGUCCAAAGGAAAAUGUUUCAAGAAAGAUGCUCAAAAUAUAAUUCGAUCAGAUGAAGCCCAUGUUAAAAAGCCAAAUAUUUCAGUGAAGGACGACACUGAGCUCUUCACUGUGACCAUGACUGAGCUGAGAGCAGAGGAUGCUGGGAAAUACUGGUGUUCAGUGAAAGACGUGUUUCUUCUUCCUGUUGAGCUAAUGAUCAUCAGGAA